UACGAAGGGGGCUAGCGUUGUUCGGAAUUACUGGGCGUAAAGCGCACGUAGGCGGAUACUUAAGUCAGAGGUGAAAUCCUGGAGCUCAACUCCAGAACUGCCUUUGAUACUGAAAGUCUUGAGUAUGGGAGAGGUGAGUGGAACUGCGAGUGUAGAGGUGAAAUUCGUAGAUAUUCGCAAGAACACCAGUGGCGAAGGCGGCUCACUGGCCCAUUACUGACGCUGAGGCACGAAAGCGUGGGAGCAACAGGG
rnacentral:rRNA from 1 species